UUUGACCUACGGGGCGCAGCAGUAGGGAAUUUUCGUCAAUGGGCGCAAGCCUGAACGAGCAAUGCCGCGUGAACGAGGAAGGUCUUCGGAUCGUAAAGUUCUGUUGAAGGGGAAAAAGAGCGGAGAGAGGAAAUGAACUCCGAUUGAUAUUACCCUUCGAGGAAGUCACGGCUAACUACGUGCCAGCAGCCGCGGUAAUACGUAGGUGGCGAGCGUUAUCCGGAAUGAUUGGGCGUAAAGGGUACGUAGGCGGCCUGCUAAGUCUGGAGUGAAAGGUACUGGCUCAACCGAUACAGGCUCUGGCA
rnacentral:rRNA from 1 species